AAAUUGAAGAGUUUGAUCAUGGCUCAGAUUGAACGCUGGCGGCAGGCCUAACACAUGCAAGUCGAACGGUAACAGGAAGCAGCUUGCUGCUUUGCUGACGAGUGGCGGACGGGUGAGUAAUGUCUGGGAAACUGCCUGAUGGAGGGGGAUAACUACUGGAAACGGUGGCUAAUACCGCAUAACGUCGCAAGACCAAAGAGGGGGACCUUCGGGCCUCUUGCCAUCAGAUGUGCCCAGAUGGGAUUAGCUAGUUGGUGAGGUAACGGCUCACCAAGGCGACGAUCCCUAGCUGGUCUGAGAGGAUGACCAGCCACACUGGAACUGAGACACGGUCCAGACUCCUACGGGAGGCAGCAGUGGGGAAUAUUGCACAAUGGGCGCAAGCCUGAUGCAGCCAUGCCGCGUGUAUGAAGAAGGCCUUAGGGUUGUAAAGUACUUUCAGCGGGGAGGAAGGUGUUGCGGUUAAUAACCGCAGCAAUUGACGUUACCCGCAGAAGAAGCACCGGCUAACUCCGUG
rnacentral:rRNA from 1 species